rnacentral:rRNA from 1 species
UACGUAGGGUGCGAGCGUUUGUCCGGAAUUAUUGGGCGUAAAGAGCUCGUAGGCGGCUUGUCGCGUCGAAUGUGAAAACCCGCAGCUCAACUGUGGGCUUGCAGCUGAUACGGGCAGGCUUGAGUUCGGUAGGGGAGACUGGAAUUCCUGGUGUAGCGGUGAAAUGCGCAGAUAUCAGGAGGAACACCGGUGGCGAAGGCGGGUCUCUGGGCCGGAUACUGACGCUGAGGAGCGAAAGCGUGGGGAGCGAACAGG